rnacentral:rRNA from 1 species
CCCUUAGACGUUCUGGGCCGCACGCGCGCUACACUGACGAAUGCAACGAGCUUAUAACCUUGGCCGAAAGGUCUGGGUAAUCUCCAAAUUUCGUCGUGAUGGGGAUAGAUUAUUGCAAUUAUUAAUCUUCAACGAGGAAUGCCUAGUAAGCGCAAGUCAUCAGCUUGCGUUGAUUACGUCCCUGCCCUUUGUACACACCGCCCGUCGCUCCUACCGAUUGAAUGGUCCGGUGAAGCGCUCGGACCGCGGCCUCUUGACGGUUCGCUGUCGAUUGGCUGUGGGAAGUUCGUUAAACCUUAUCAUUUAGAGGAAGGAGAAGUCGUAACA